CAGUAGCCGCGGUAAUACGUAGGGUGCGAGCGUUAAUCGGAAUUACUGGGCGUAAAGCGUGCGCAGGCGGUUGUGUAAGACAGGUGUGAAAUCCCCGGGCUUAACCUGGGAACUGCGCUUGUGACUGCACAGCUAGAGUAUGGCAGAGGGGGGUGGAAUUCCACGUGUAGCAGUGAAAUGCGUAGAGAUGUGGAGGAACACCGAUGGCGAAGGCAGCCCCCUGGGCCAAUACUGACGCUCAUGCACGAAAGCGUGGGGAGCAAACAGGAUUAGAGACCCGUGUAGUCCCUGUCUCUUAUAC
rnacentral:rRNA from 1 species